GAACUAUAUUCCCGCUGACGUCAUUUUCCCGAAAUCGCUAUCUUGGUCAGUUAUUCCGAGAAAAGGCUGAGAAGAUUUGCUAUCAAUUACGAAGUCCCAGCUAUUACGUUGAUAUUUUGGUUGCAAUCUAUUCCAUCUUGGUGUAUUGUCUUCAUACUUGGCCACAACAACCCUUCAAAUAGACCAGACUAAACUUGACCUCCAUAUAAACAUUCAAGAUGGUCGGCCUACAUGUCAGAUUUGUGAAUGUGAACGGCAGGAUAUCGAGUUUAAGGAUGCUUUAGGGUCAAUGAGAAUGAAAUCAAGAGAGAUAAAGGCUAAAAUGUGAGACUGUCAAUCUGACAAACCUUGCAGUGAAUAAAUGGAAACAGUGGCGUUUGUAUGAUAGAACAGUAAUAGCAGGAGUGAUAAGGACAGAUGCAUGUAGAUGUGUCUUCAUGUCGGAAACACUACUAGAGAAAUUGAAAUAUUUGGGUUUUUCAAAACUUAAAAGAAAUUGGAAUACCAGGAGACUGCUUGCCCUUUGCAAUGUUGGAUGAUGUGAUGUCGAAAGCCUCAUGAAUAUAGUAACUUGACUUAAUCUAAUAAGAAAAAGAAAUGACAUUGAGGAGAAAACUAGUCACCAGUCUUUCACCAAGAACAUGAGAUAACUUUCCAAUAUUUGAAAUAUCAUAAUAUGUAUAGAACUUAAAUGAGCUAACAGUUUUUCACCAGGAAAAUAAGAUCACUUAUCUAUUUUUGAAAUAUGUAUGAACAGAACUCUAUCAACUUCAAGGUGAGAGUUUAUCACAAAGAACAUGAGAUAACCUAUGUAUGAACAGAACCACAUUUGUAUAUAGAGGCGCCAGUUCAUCUCCAAGAAGAUGAGCUAACUUAUCAAUGUUUGAAAUCUGUUAUACCCCCGCACAACUAAGUUGUAAGGGGGGUAUACUGGAAUCAGCUUGUCCGGCCGUCGGGAGUUUGUCAGUUUUUUCUUGUCCGUCCAAUAACUUAAGAUUCCUUUGACCCACAGUCUUCAUAUUUGGCAUGGAGAUAAGUCAUGAUUAGUAGAUGACCUCUUUUAAUUUUGAGAACACCAAGUCAAAGGUCAAGGUCACAGGGUCUUGACUGAAGAAAGCUUUUCUGCCCAAUAACUUAAGAAUCCUUCGACCCACAGUCUUCAUUUUUGGCAUGGAGGUUAGUCAUGAUUAGUAGAUGACCCCUAUUUAUUUUCAGGUCUAAGGUCAUGGUCACAGGGGCCUUGGCUAAUUAAAGCUUGUCCUCCCAAUUACCUAAGAAUCCUUUGACCCGUAGUCUUCAUAUUUGGCAUGGAGGUUAGUCAAGAUUAGUGGAAUACCUCUAUUGAUUUUGAGGUCACUGGGGCAAAGGUCAAGGUCACAGGGGCUUUUAUUACAAUUAGCUUGUCUGCUCAAAUGGUCUUAUAUAUUCAUCAUAAAACACCUCCAGGCAAGGCUGCAUGAAAUGGGGGGGGGUGUUAUUGAAGUCAUUCAAUGGCAGUUUCAGUUUUGAGGUCAGUAGGUCAAAGGUAAAGUUCACUUUGAUCUUUUCCACUAAAACAUGUAGAAUACAUAACUUAGCAAUGCACUGGCUUACUUCCCUCAGAUUUGGCUGGGAGGUUGUCUGAGCUGUAAAUGACUACUGGUGUGAUUCUGACAAAUUGGUAUGUGGGGGUAUUCACGCCAUGACAAUGGCAGUUCUAGUUUGUACAGAAAAUAUCAAGGUGCAAGUUUCUUUUAUUAAGAAUAGACUUAUUGAUUAGAUAACUUACAAUAUUUACAAACAUUUAUAAUACCAUACCCAUUUAAAGUAUUUCAGCUGAGAGUGUAUUAUCCAAAAUACAUGUAUUGUUAUAAUGUACUUUAUAGUAUAUUUAUUGUAAAGUUUUGAUUCUACUAGAUUUUAAAAACAUUUAGAUUUUA